AACGCAUGUAGGUAUAAAGUAAGCAUGUUGACUGCCUGUUUUAUUUUGCAAAUAUCUUCAAAAGUUAUUGAGGUCUGAAAAUGUAGGCGUAAUUAAAGUUAUUUAUUUCAGUUUCUGUUGGAUUUGGGUUGAAAUGGCUUUGCUCAUGAUGAGAUGAAGGUGUUCUACUUGCUUAGGUUGAGGCAUGGUUUUACACACAAACACACUGAAGUUUGAUGCUAUUUUUACUGUAACUUGAAGGGUAUACUUGUGCUUUUUUUUUUUUUCUUUUUUUUUUCCUAGACCUAAAAAUUUUGAACUGAUCAUGGAAAAAUGGUUUGAGAGGCAAAUGACAAUAUAGUACAGAAUUAAAAUCAUUGUAAAUUUUCAGCUUCUAUAUCCAGAUAGAUAUUGAUCUCUUUAUGUUAACAGACGGUGAAGUUGUAACUCCCACUAUGUUCUGCUAAUUGUUCAUGAGGUAAGGUAUAGAUGACAUAUUUUCUGGAAUUUCCUGUGUCUGCCCGUCCCAUCUUUACACUGCACUCCUUUUUCCCCCUUUCUUUUUCAUUUUUUGUUGCAUAAGUGAAUUGCUUUAAGAAUAAUUAUUAAGAAGGUUUCGAGUACUGGAGAAAAUGGAUCCAUGUAGUUGAUUCUUAAGUAAUUUGAACCAAGCCUUGUUGAGUUGAGUUGAUCUGUCAUGCACCUAUUCUUAUUUUUCACAAUUCCUUCCAUUUUGAGGUGGUUUAGGAUAUAGGAUUUUUGGCUAAAAAAGCCAAAACACCAAAACCGUUGGGGUGCAUCAAAAAAAUCUGGCUAUACCAGUGUAAAAAAACCAAUGUACUCUCAUAUAUACUUUUUUUCAGACAGUUAAAACAAUGGUAAAAUGGUAAUUUUAGGCAAAAAGCCAAAAUAUCACAUCAGCCUUUUACAUUUUUCCAUACAACUAAAAAGUCCAUUCCCAUAAUUGUUUUUCACCUCAUAAUAAAAAAGCUAAAAAGCCACUAAAAAAUCCAAACCCCAAACACCCACUUUUGUGUCCUCAAUUAUUGGCUGUUCAACUCUUCUCAUGAUGCAUUCUUCAUUUUUUGUUGUCUAUUUUUAUUUCAUUAGUCGUUAUUUCAGCUUUAAGAGAAUUAAGCCUUGUUUUGUUUGUCUCUUGAGAGACAAUUUUUGAGAAAAAAUUUCGUUCGAAAUCACUUCUCUUUACUACAUAUUAAUCAAUCACUUUUUCUCUCUCUUCUCUCUUCACAUUCUAUACAUCAAUCAAUCAUUUUUCUUCAUACUUUUCUAUUCAACUAUCCAAAAUUCCAAAACUCCAAAAUUAUUUUCAAAACAUACAAAAAAUUUGUAAACUCUUUUUAGAAAAUUAUUUUUCAAAAUUGUUUCACAAAUACAAACCAAACAUGGCCUUAAUGUCUCCCUGUUGAAUUUUGCCGACUUGCUUUAGUGCUCUGAUUAUAUUUGGUGAGAACAAGUUUUCUAGUUAGAUAUAAGUUUCCGAACUGGGUUACACAUUUAGACUAGAUGUGUCUUUGUCAAAACCAUUCCAAGGAUUCUCCAAAUGCUUUUGCUUUGUUUGGUGUUUAUUUGUUUGAGGGAAUGGAUGAGGAAAGUGGAAGGAAGGAAAAGAAAAAUCAAAUUAGAGACUCCAAAUUCCUUGUUUAUGUUUGGUUAGAGCAACUCUAAUGGUUAAUGCUAUAAUAGCUCUGCUAAAGUUAUAAUUUGGCAUGCUACAGUAGCAAAAUACCAAAAUGUUGCAAUGUUGCCAUAGGGUAAUGCCAUUUUGGUACAAUGCUAACCAACUUUCCCUCCGUUUUUAGGUGGUGUUUGAGGUUUGUUUUUUUGAGUGAUUUUUUGUUUUUAGUCUUUUGUGAUCUUUUUUAAACUUUUUUUUUUCAAAAAAAAAAAAAUAAUAAAAAAAAAAAUAUUUUUACAUUCUAUGCGACCCAAAAUGUUUUUUAAAAAUUAAAAUAUUGAAAAAAAUUUAGAUCUUUCUAUUCACCCACCAUUUACAUGCCAUUAAAAAAAUGGGCAAAUUAUAAAUUACCAAUAGGUUCUACUUUUGGGAAUUAUUACCCAUUAAGUCCUAUUGGUAAAUUUAUUAGUCUAUCUUGUUUUUAUGAAUAAAUUUACAGUGAUAAAUUUAUUAAUAGGAUUUAAUGGGUAAUAAAUCUUAAAAGUAGGACUUAUUGGUAAGUACCCUUAAAAAUUUGAAAAAAAAUAUUAACUCUCAUUCUCAUAUACUAUUAUGAUCUAUUAAAACCCACCAUUUUUGAAUACAUACCUAUCACCCACUGGGUAGGUAUGUUUUCAAGAAUGGUAGGUUUCAAUACAUCAGAAUAGCAGUGUUCAUGGGUCAGUUUGGCAAUAAAUUUAGAACUAAUUCAAUCAUAGUUUUUGAACCCAUAACUAAACCAAUGAUGCACUAGAACCAAUCUAACCCAAUUCAAUGUAGCUCGGGUUAUAACUACGGUUCCACUAUAUUAAAAAUAAGUGAAUUAAUCAAUAAUAAAUAAUUAAAAAUAAAUAAGUCUUUAACAUUUAAACAUAACACAAAUAAAGAGUAAAAUAUUGUUUAAUGCAAACUAAUACAAAUUAAAUCCAACUAAAGCUUAAACAUAACCAAUACACAAUAAAUCCAUUAGUACAAAUUAGAUCAAUUUUGAAAUCUAACUCAAUCUUCCAGGACUAACUUUGUUCAUCUAAUAAUUUUUGUAUGUUGGAAAUUAUUAGGUGCAAUCACGUUCAUUGUAAUAGACCAAUUAUGUGAAGACAUUAA